rnacentral:lncRNA from 1 species
AAAUAUUAGAAUUUUAAGUUAUUGGCCCAUUCAACAAAAUAAACCCACCCACCAUCCACCUCAUCUUUUGCUUCAAACCUAAUUAUUUGACUUCCUAGCUGCGCCGCUCUGCUUCUCUUUUACUAGACUUUUUUCUUCUUCUUCUUCAACAUUCAGCUGCAUUCCAUAUGAUAAUGAUCGUUUCUUCGAGCACCCAAAGGGUAAAGACGUCUUUGUCGGGCUGUCUUAAGCCUUGGCGGUCACGGAUCUCAGCUAUUUACAAAUAUGUUUUUCUAUUUUUCUAACCUUGGUAGAAAUUUUAGGAAUUAUUGUGUGUAAUAUGUUCAUUUUUUCUUGAUAAGAUAAAUUUUUGAUUGUUUUCCUGUGUGGAGAGAUUUGCCAUCGAUUCUUGUUGGGUUUAAGCUGCGUUUUCGGUUUUCGAAAAAAAAUUCUUGUUCUUCCCUUUUAUUCCGAAAAUUUCUGAAAAUUCCGAAAAUUCCGAAAAAAUCGGAAUCGGAACUCAUUUUCAGAUUCCGAAAAUUUCGGAAUCGGAAUCGGAAGUGAUAUUAGAGUUCCGAAAAAAAUUGGAAUUUUUCCGAAGAGCCUGUAUCCGAUCCGAUCCGUCCGAUCUCCACCCCUA